rnacentral:rRNA from 1 species
ACAUACUGUGAAAAUGUCCUUGCUCUGUUAAACAUCAACUCUCACAAGGUUACUCACUAAAGCUAAACAGGGCUGUGCCCAGCCAGUACCUGGAUGGGCGACCGCAUGGGAAAGCUAGGUUGCUGCUGGAA